rnacentral:rRNA from 1 species
AAGGUUUCCAGAGUAAAGCUGAUCUGCUCUGGGUAAGUCGGGGCCUAAGGCGAGGUCGAAAGACGUAGUCGAUGGAUAACAGGUAAAGAUUCCUGUACUGUAUCAUAACAGAACUGUGGGGACGCAGACAGAGAGCAUAAGCCGGGAAUGGAAAGACCGGUACAAGCGAGGUAGGAGUGCAUCAGGCAAAUCCGGUGCACAAUCUGAAGACGUGAUGUGGGGCGUAAAGCCGGAAGUAUGUGAGCUGGCUGCCAAGAAAAGCCGCUAUUGUUUAUGAUAUACCCGUACCGUAAACCGACACAGGUGGAUGAGGAGAGAAUCCUAAGGCCGACGGGAGAAGCAUUGUUAAGGAACUCGGCAAAAUGACUCCGUAACUUCGGGAGAAGGAGUGCCAUGUAAAAGUGGCCGCAGAGAAUUGGCCCAAGCAACUGUUUAGCAAAAACACAGGUCUAUGCAAAACCGAAAGGUGAGGUAUAUGGGCUGACGCCUGCCCGGUGCUGGAAGGUUAAGGGGAGAGGUUAGCCGUAAGGCGAAGCUUUGAACUUAAGCCCCAGUAAACGGCGGCCGUAACUAUAACGGUCCUAAGGUAGCGAAAUUCCUUGUCGGGUAAGUUCCGACCCGCACGAAAGGCGUAACGAUUUGGGCACUGUCUCAACAACAGACUGGGUGAAAUUGUAAUACCGGUGAAGAUGCCGGUUACCUGCGACAGGACGGAAAGACCCCAUGGAGCUUUACUGUAGCUUGACAUUGAGUCUCGGUGCUACAUGUACAGGAUAGGUGGGAGACUAUGAAGCAUGGACGUCAGUCUGUGUGGAGUCAUCCUUGGGAUACCACCCUUGUAGUACUGGGAUUCUAACCAGCUGCCUUGAAUCAGGUAGUGGGACACUGUCAGGUGGACAGUUUGACUGGGGCGGUCGCCUCCUAAAAAGUAACGGAGGCGCUCAAAGGUUCUCUCAGUACGGUCGGAAAUCGUACGUAGAGUGUAAAGGCAGAAGAGAGCUUGAUUGCAAGACAUACAGGUCGAGCAAGGACGAAAGUCGGACUUAGUGAUCCGGUGGUUCCGCAUGGAAGGGCCAUCGCUCAACGGAUAAAAGCUACCCUGGGGAUAACAGGCUGAUCUCCCCCAAGAGUCCACAUCGACGGGGAGGUUUGGCACCUCGAUGUCGGCUCAUCACAUCCUGGGGCUGUAGUAGGUCCCAAGGGUUGGGCUGUUCGCCCAUUAAAGUGGUACGCGAGCUGGGUUCAGAACGUCGUGAGACAGUUCGGUCCCUAUCCGUCGCAGGCGUAGGAAAUUUGAGGAGACCUGUCCUUAGUACGAGAGGACCGGGAUGGACGUACCGCUGGUGUACCAGUUGUUCUGCCAAGGGCAUAGCUGGGUAGCUAAGUACGGAAAGGAUAAGCGCUGAAAGCAUCUAAGCGCGAAGCCCACUUCAAGAUAAGAUUUCCCACCGCAAGGUUAAGAUCCCAGGAAGACUACCUGGUUGAUAGGUCAGAGGUGUAAGUGCAGUAAUGUAUUUAGCUUACUGAUACUAAUAGAUCGAGGACUUGACCAA